rnacentral:lncRNA from 1 species
AUAAUUCAAUCCAUUGCCAUUUAGCAUAUCAGUAGGAUAGUUGCAAUGAGUGAGCACUCAUAAACUAUAAUUAAUCCAUCAGUACAACUUAAGUUUUAUUGACAAAUUACAUUCAAUCUCAUUUCGUACUAGUUUGUUCAUGCUACCUCAAAUGGCAAACAACAUGACACUUCACAAUGAUUCAUGUCUAAUUGCACAGGUGGAAUCAUGCUCGAUAUGCUUUCUAGAAUCAUAGGAAUCAAACACCACCU